rnacentral:rRNA from 1 species
GGGGAAUAUUGCGCAAUGGGGGAAACCCUGACGCAGCAACGCCGCGUGGGUGAUGAAGGUUUUCGGAUCGUAAAACCCUGUUUUCUGGGACGAUAAUGACGGUACCAGAUGAGGAAGCCACGGCUAACUACGUGCCAGCAGCCGCGGUAAUACGUAGGUGGCAAGCGUUGUCCGGAUUUACUGGGCGUAAAGGGUGCGUAGGCGGAUGCUUAAGUGAGAUGUGAAAUACCUAGGCUUAACUUAGGGGCUGCAUUUCAAACUGGGCAUCUAGAGUACAGGAGAGGGAAACGGAAUUCCUAGUGUAGCGGUGAAAUGCGUAGAGAUUAGGAAGAACACCAGUGGCGAAGGCGGUUUCCUGGACUGUAACUGACGCUGAGGCACGAAAGCGUGGGUAGCAAACA